GGGGAUGUAAUUUAGUGGUAGAAUACUACUUUCGCAUAGUUGAAACGCGAGUUCGAUUCUCGCCAUCUCCA